UACGUAGGGUGCAAGCGUUAAUCGGAAUUACUGGGCGUAAAGCGUGCGCAGGCGGUUAUAUAAGUCAGAAGUGAAAUCCCCCGGCUCAACCUGGGAACUGCAUUUGAGACUGUAGGGCUAGAGUGUGUCAGAGGGGGGUAGAAUUCCACGUGUAGCAGUGAAAUGCGUAGAUAUGUGGAGGAAUACCGAUGGCGAAGGCAG
rnacentral:rRNA from 1 species